UGAGUACGAGAUGCUACGGCAUCGAAGCAGUCUAUGUCAUACUUCCAAGAAAAGCUUGCACUGUCAUAAACAAAGAAUGCCUGUACCAUAACCGACACAGGUGGGUAGGUAGAGUAUACUAAGGGGCGCGAGAUAACUCUCUCUAAGGAACUCGGCAAAAUGACUCCGUAACUUCGGGAGAAGGAGUGCCUUAUUUCUAAGGUUGCAAUAACAAGAUCCAAGCAACUGUUUACCAAAAACACAGGUCUCCGCUAAGUCGUAAGACGAUGUAUGGGGGCUGACGCCUGCCCAGUGCCAGAAGGUUAAAGAAGUUGGUUAGCAUUAGCGAAGCUGAUAACUGAAGCCCUGGUGAACGGCGGCCGUAACGAUAACGGUCCUAAAGUAGCGAAAUUCCUUGUCGGGUAAGUUCCGACCCGCACGAAAGGCGUAAUGAUUUGGAUACUGUCUCGGAGAGGGGCUCGGUGAAAUAGACUUGUCUGUGAAGAUGCGGACUACCUGCACCUGGACAGAAAGACCCUAUGAAGCUUUACUGUAACUUGAGAUUGAAAUUGGACUUUAUUUGCGCAGUAUAGGUGGGAGGCGUUGAGAAUAAUCUUGCGGGAUUGUUGGAGCCAUCAGUGAGAUACCACUCUUGUAAUGUUAGAUUUCUAACUUUGUAUCAUUAUCUGGUCAAAGAACAGUUUCAGGCGGGCAGUUUGACUGGGGCGGUCGCCUCCCAAAGGGUAACGGAGGCGCACAAAGGUUUCCUCUGAACGGGUAGAAAUCGUAUCUAGAGUGUAAAGGCAUAAGGAAGCUUGACUGUGAGACCUACAAGUCGAGCAGGGACGAAAGUCGGUCUUAGUGAUCUGACGGUGCUGAGUGGAAAGGCUGUCACUCAACGGAUAAAAGUUACUCUAGGAUAACAGGCUGAUCUCCCCCAAGAGUUCACAUCGACGGGGAGGUUUGGCACCUCGAUGUCGGCUCAUCGCAUCCUGGGGCGGUAGUCCGUCCCAAGGGUUGGGCUGUUCGCCCAUGAAAGCGGUACGCGAGCUGGGUUCAGAACGUCGUGAGACAGAUCGGUCCAUAUCCGGUGUAGGCGUUAGAAUAUUGAGAGGAGCCUUCUCUAGUACGAGAGGACCGAGAAGGACAUACCUUUGGUGUACCAGUUAUCGUGCCAACGGUAAACGCUGGGUAGCUAUGCAUGGAGUGGAUAACCGCUGAAAGCAUCUAAGUGGGAAGCCCACCUCAAGAUAAGUAUUCUCGUA
rnacentral:rRNA from 1 species